AACGAACGCUGGCGGCAGGCCUAACACAUGCAAGUCGAGCGAGGACUUCGGUUCUAGCGGCGGACGGGUGAGUAACGCGUGGGAAUGUGCCCUUCUCUACGGAAUAGCCCUGGGAAACUGGGAGUAAUACCGUAUACGCCCUAUUGGGGAAAGAUUUAUCGGAGAAGGAUCAGCCCGCGUUGGAUUAGGUAGUUGGUGGGGUAAUGGCCUACCAAGCCGACGAUCCAUAGCUGGUUUGAGAGGAUGAUCAGCCACACUGGGACUGAGACACGGCCCAGACUCCUACGGGAGGCAGCAGUGGGGAAUCUUAGACAAUGGGGGCAACCCUGAUCCAGCCAUGCCGCGUGAGUGAUGAAGGCCUUAGGGUUGUAAAGCUCUUUCAGCUGGGAAGAUAAUGACGGUACCAGCAGAAGAAGCCCCGGCUAACUCCGUG
rnacentral:rRNA from 1 species